GUUUAAAUUUUAUUUAUUAAUUUUUAUUGUAGUAUUAAAUAACAUAUGUUAUUUAUGUAUGUAUGUAUAUAUAUAUAUAUAUAUAUAUAAUUAUUUAUUAAAAGUAAUUAUAUAAAUUAUUUGUUUUAGUAAUUAUAAUGAAAAAAUAUAAUUUGUGAUAGUUUAUUUGUAUUGUAAAAGAUAAUUGAAAUAUUUGAAAAAUUUUUAUGUUUAAAGAAAAAUUAAAUUUUUGUACCUUGUGUAUUAGGGUUUAUUAAUUAAUUAAUAAUUAUAUAUUUAUUUCGAUUUUAUAAGAGUUAAUAAUUUAUUUAAGUUGAUGUAUCAUAAUCAUUUAUUAUUUAUUAUUAGAAAUGAAAUGUUAUUCGUUUAUAAAGUUAUCUAAUUUUUUUAGAAAUAAAUUUAAUUUACAAUUUUAAAAAUUUAAUUUAUUUAUUAAAAUUAAAUUAUAAGAAAAUUGAAUAUUUUAAGGGAUAAGCUUUAAAAUAAAUUUUUUAUAAAUUAAUAAGUUUUAUUUAAAAUUGUAUACAUAGAAUUAGUAAUCAUUAAUAAGUUUGUUUUAAAUUAUUUUAAGUUAUAUAUUAUUUAUUAAAUUUUAAUUUUUUAUAAAAAAAAUUUUUAAAAUAGUUAAUGAAUUAUUAUAAUGAUAAAAUUAGUAUAUAAAUUUGUAUAAAUAAAUUAUAUAGUUAAGUUUAUAUAAAGAAUUCGGCAAAUUUUAUACUCGCCUGUUUAACAAAAACAUGUCUUUUUGAAUUAUUUAAAAAGUCUAGCCUGCCCAAUGAAUUAAUUUGAAUGGCCGCAGUAUUCUGACUGUGCAAAGGUAGCAUAAUCAUUAGUCUUUUAAUUGAAGGCUAGUAUGAAUGGUUGGACGAAGUAUAAACUGUUUCGUAUAAAUUUAUUAUAGAAUUUUAUUUUUUAGUAAAAAAGCUAAAAUUUAAUUAAAAGACGAGAAGACCCUAUAAAUCUUUAUAUUUUAAUAAAUGAAUUUUAAUAUAGAAUUUUUAAAUUUUUAUUUAAAAAAAAUAUUUUGUUGGGGUGAUAUUAAAAUUUAUUUAACUUUUAAUUUUUAAAAACAUUAAUUUAUGAUUUAAUGAUCCAUUAAUAAUGAUUAUAAGAAUAAGUUACUUUAGGGAUAACAGCGUAAUUUUUUUAAAGAGUUCUUAUCAAUAAAAAAGUUUGCGACCUCGAUGUUGGAUUAAGAAUAAAUUUAGGUGCAGAAGCUUAAAAUUUUAAGUCUGUUCGACUUUUAAAUUCUUACAUGAUCUGAGUUCAAACCGGUGUAAGCCAGGUUGGUUUCUAUCUUUAAUAAAUUAUAAUAUUUUAGUACGAAAGGACCAAAUAUUAAAUUUAUAUAAAUUUUAUAAAUGAAUAUUUUUAAAUU
rnacentral:rRNA from 1 species